rnacentral:rRNA from 1 species
ACUCCUACGGGAGGCAGCAGUGGGGAAUAUUGGACAAUGGGGGGAACCCUGAUCCAGCCAUGCCGCGUGUGUGAAGAAGGCCUUUUGGUCGUAAAGCACUUUAAGCGAGGAGGAGGCUACUUGGAUUAAUACUCUAGGAUAGUGGACGUUACUCGCAGAAUAAGCACCGGCUAACUCUGUGCCAGCAGCCGCGGUAAU